rnacentral:lncRNA from 1 species
AUGUCACACACACACACGUUGCACACAAACAUGUCACACACACACGUGUUGCACACGCAGCAUUACACACACACGUGUCACACACACAAACGCACGUGUUGCACACACAGUGUCACAUGCACACACAGCCUUGCAUACGCACGCGUGUCACAUGCACACGUGACACGCACACGUGGUGCACACGCAGUGUCGUGCACACGCAGACUUGCACACGCACACGUGUCACACACGCACCUGUCACACAAACAUGUGUUGCACACGCAGUGUCACAUGGCCAUACAGCCUUGCACACGCACAUGUCACACGCACACCUGUGACACGCACACCUGUUGCACACGCAGUGUCACACACACACACGCAGCCUUGCACACGCACACAUGUCACACGCACAAAUGUCACACACACACACGUGUUGCACACGCAGAGUCACAUGCACACGCAGCGUUGCACAUGUCACACACACACAUGUGUUGCACGUGCAGUGUCACACGCGCACAGCCUUGCACACGUCACACGCCCAAGUGUCGCACGCACGAUGUCACACACACAGCCUUGCACACACAUGUGUCACUUGCCCACGUGUCCCACACAGACGUCACGUGCAGUGUCGCACACACAAUGUCGCACACAUAUCACACGCGCACGUGUCACACAAACACGCCACACACACACACACAGUGUUGCACACGCGGGUCACAAGCACGCAUGUCACACACACGUGUCCCACACACAUCACACGCACACGCAGAGUUGCACACAUGCGCGUGUCACACACACACACGUCACACCCACAUGGAGCCUCUUGCACACGUGUCACUCACACGCGUCGCUCUCACACGUGUCACACGCUCACACGUCAAGUGCACAUGCACGUGCCACACACGUAUCACACUUGUGCACGCAUCACACGCACUAUGUGGCCCACACGCACAUUUGACACGCACACACACGUGUUGCACAUGCACACACACGUCACACAAGUCACACACGCAUGUGGCAUACGCCCCCGUGUCACACACACGCAUCGCUCUCACACGUGUCACACGCACACACGUCACGUGCACUCGCACAUAA